UCAUCAUUGUGGUUACUAUCCUCAGAACUGUUUUCCUGAUUAGAAGACAGAGGUGGCUCCACUAAAAGAAGCCUCUGCUCUGAGCUGUCCUCUUCAAAGGCUGUCUGUGUUGUUGCAGAGUCAGACAUGUGUCCUUUUCUGAGCCGUAGACCUGGCUCUGGAGAACCAGCAUUAUCGAGUUCCGUUAGUUCAUUCAUGAGAUGCUGGGAGCCUUCUCAAAUAUUCUGCUUCCUCUUGAUCCCGUCUGGCUGAUUAUGCGUUGGCUCUGGCAACGCGCGCCCUGGCAACGGCCGGCGCCCGCCCUGGCGCCCGCGAGGU
rnacentral:lncRNA from 1 species